rnacentral:rRNA from 1 species
UACGGAGGGGGCUAGCGUUGUUCGGAAUUACUGGGCGUAAAGCGCACGUAGGCGGACCAGCAAGUUGGGGGUGAAAUCCCGGGGCUCAACCCCGGAACUGCCUUCAAAACUGCGGGUCUGGAGGUCGAGAGAGGUGAGUGGAAUUCCUAGUGUAGAGGUGAAAUUCGUAGAUAUUAGGAAGAACACCAGUGGCGAAGGCGGCUCACUGGUCCGGUACUGACGCUGAGGUGCGAAAGCGUGGGGAGCAAACAGG